GACGAACGCUGGCGGCGUGCUUAACACAUGCAAGUCGAACGGAAAGGCCCUGCUUUUGUGGGGUGCUCGAGUGGCGAACGGGUGAGUAACACGUGAGUAACCCGCCCUUGACUUUGGGAUAACUUCAGGAAACUGGGGCUAAUACCGGAUAGGAGCUCCUGCUGCAUGGUGGGGGUUGGAAAGUUUCGGCGGUUGGGGAUGGACUCGCGGCUUAUCAGCUUGUUGGUGGGGUAGUGGCUUACCAAGGCUUUGACGGGUAGCCGGCCUGAGAGGGUGACCGGCCACAUUGGGACUGAGAUACGGCCCAGACUCCUACGGGAGGCAGCAGUGGGGAAUAUUGCACAAUGGGCGGAAGCCUGAUGCAGCAACGCCGCGUGCGGGAUGACGGCCUUCGGGUUGUAAACCGCUUUCGCCUGUGACGAAGCGUGAGUGACGGGAAUGGGUAAAGAAGCACCGGCUAACUACGU
rnacentral:rRNA from 1 species